rnacentral:rRNA from 1 species
GACGAACGCUGGCGGCGUGCUUAACACAUGCAAGUCGAGCGGAAAGACCCUGCUUUUGCGGGGUUCUCGAUUGCCGAACGCGUGAGUAACACGUGAGUAACCUGCACUUAACUUUCGGAUAAAUUCAGGAAAAUGGGGCUCAUAUCGGAUAGGAGAUCCUGCUGCGUGGUGUGCGUUAGAAAGUUUCGGCGGUUGGGGAUGGACUCGAGGCUUAUCAGCUUGUUGGUGGGGUAGUGGCUUACAAAGGCUUCGAAGGGUAGCCGGCAUGAGAGGGUGACCGGCCACAUUGGGACUGAGAUACGGACCAGACGCCUACGGGAGGCAGCAGGGGGGAAUAUUGCACAAUGGGCGGAAGCCUGAUGCAGCAACGCCGCGUGCGGGAUGACGGCCUUCGGGUUGUAAACCGCUUUGGCCUGUGACGAAGCGUGAGUGACGGUAAUGGGUAAAGAAGCAACGGCUAACUACGUG